AAGUCGUAACAAGGUUUCCGUAGGUGAACCUGCGGAAGGAUCAUUACCGAGUUAGGGUUUCGUCCGACGAGCCCGACCUCCCAACCCUUUGUCUAUUAUACCUUGUCGUUGCUUCGGCGGACCGGUCGCGACCAACUAGUCGUGGCCGCCGGGGCCCGUCCCUGGAAAGCGUCCGCCGACGGCCCAACCACAAACUCUUGUACCAAACCAUGUCGUCUGAAUUUACUUGAUUAAAAUCAAAAACAAAACUUUCAACAACGGAUCUCUUGGUUCUG
rnacentral:misc_RNA from 1 species